rnacentral:rRNA from 1 species
UUGAUGGUAGUGUAUUGGACUACCAUGGCAGUUACGGGUAACGGGGAAUAGGGGUUCGAUUCCGGAGAGGGAGCCUGAGAAACGGCUACCACAUCUAAGGAAGGCAGCAGGCGCGUAAAUUACCCAAUCCUAAUUCAGGGAGGUAGUGACAAGAAAUAAUGACUCGAGGUCCUCGGACUUACGUGAUCGUAAUGAGAACAAUUUAAUACACUUAACGAGUAUCAAUUGGAGGGCAAGUCUGGUGCCAGCAGCCGCGGUAAUUCCAGCUCCAAUAGCGUAUAUUAAAGUUGUUGCAGUUAAAAAGCUCGUAGUUGAACUUCUGGUCAUUAUCUUUCUACAAUUGUAGCAAGAAGUGGCCAUCCGCCUGAAAAACCUAGUCAGCACUUUACUGGGCUACUAGGGGAUCUGGCACUUUACCUUGAAAAAAUCAGAGUGUUUCAGGCAGGCUCUCGCCCGAAUACUCCAGCAUGGAAUAAUGGAAUAGGACUUUCGUCUAUUUUGUUGGUUAUUAGUAGAAAGUAAUGAUUAAUAGGGACAGUUGGGGGCAUUCGUACUUAAUUGUCAGAGGUGAAAUUCUUGGAUUUAUUAAAGACGAACUAAUGCGAAAGCAUUUGCCAAGGAUGUUUUCAUUGAUCAAGAACGAAAGUUAGGGGAUCAAAGACGAUCAGAUACCGUC